CUCUUGUCAUAAAUUAAUCUAUUACUUUUCCUACAUAAUUUUUAACAAAAAACAUUGGUAAAAUAUCUAUUUAGGAAUCUUAGACCUUUCCAACGAUACAUAGUUUGUCAUGAUUAGAUAAGGAUUUAGUGAAGUAAACGUAGGUGUCCCGUAUACGGGACGGGGUGACAGUUAACAGGUUAAAUGACACUUGAAAAAUGUGUUGUCCAAAGGCUUGCAGGUGGACAUUUUUCUGUUGAGUUCAGUACAUGUACAGCUUUAUUAUUUGACUUGCCAACCAUUUUUCAAACGUAGUUGUUUAAUCCUAAUAAAAGGAUCUGAUUGGUCAUUCAGAUGUUUUGUACUGUGAUGCCUGCUACGAGCAGAGUCUGUGUACUGUAAAUAUGUAUUCUUUGUAUAAAUGACAAAAAAAUGCCCUAUUUGACACCCCGAGGAGUUUUUAAUCUCAUUUUAGAAUGGGAAAGAAAGAUUGUUUUGAAAUGAAUGACUAUUGAUACUUCCGUUUUUAUUUGGGACUUGUUCUUUGAGAGUUUGAGGUCAGUUGGAAAGAUAUAUGGUGGAUUUCUGCUUUGGUCAGCUGAAGGUUUUAGAUCUGCGAACUGGAAAGCUGCUGUGUUCAUCACCAAGUUACUUAACAGAUGCCUCUGAAGCUUGAUUAAGAAAAUGUUAUGAGACUUUUGGGGCCAACUUGGACACCAGCGACAUCCUAUGGUCCUGGUUUACAAACUGUCUUGCUCUGAAAAAUGACCGUCAUAGUCUAUUUGAAAGCCGUGUUAGUGCUUUUAGCUCUCUAGUGCCCUCAUCUUACCGUAGUGCAGAAGUGCAGCAUCAACCUCAAAUUGUGGAAGAAACACUGAUGAUAGACUUCAUGCUGAUUUGUGGAUAAUUAUUAUUUUAUGACUCCUUUUAAAGGGAAAACUAGAUAAACUUAGCCACAUUUGAAUACUACGACAUGACCUCACGGAAACUUGGGACAGAUGUAUAAUGGAACUGAAUGGUGAUUGGACAGAUGAAAUUUUGUGCCAUAAUGACUUAUUUCUGCUCAUACAGCUCAGAGAUUUUACAGUGUGGCAAGAAAUGAUGAAUUGACUUUUGUGCUUUUAUGUGAUCAUUCCACAAAAGGAGUAUGCCUUAUUUUUCUCACAGUUAUUUGACUUAAAAUGGUUUCACAAUUCUUUGUUCAUGAUUUGAAUAAACUGUUCUUUUUUUAAUGGAUGCAGAUCUUACUAUGUACCUUAUUUUGCCUGUCUAAUGACAUUUGGAAUUGCUUUUAAGAAAUAUUUUCACUUGUGAAUUAAUGAAGCAAAUAAAUGGUCAAUGAGUACUUGUUUAAAGAAAAAUAUGAGUUAUUGUCCAGUAAUAAAGAAAUAAACAGGCA
ensembl:lncRNA